rnacentral:rRNA from 1 species
UACGUAGGGUGCAAGCGUUGUCCGGAAUUAUUGGGCGUAAAGAGCUCGUAGGCGGUUUGUCGCGUCGGCUGUGAAAACUCGGGGCUCAACCCCGAGCCUGCAGUCGAUACGGGCAAACUAGAGUGUGGUAGGGGAGACUGGAAUUCCUGGUGUAGCGGUGAAAUGCGCAGAUAUCAGGAGGAACACCGGUGGCGAAGGCGGGUCUCUGGGCCGUAACUGACGCUGAGGAGCGAAAGCGUGGGGAGCGAACAGG